rnacentral:tRNA from 1 species
GCCGUGGUGGCGCAAUCUGGUACCGCGUCAGCCUCGAAAGCUGAUUUCCUUUGGAUAUGUAGGUUCGAAUCCUGCCCACGGCG